AAUCAACGCUGGCGGCGUGCCUCAGACAUGCAAGUCGAACGCGAAAGUCCCCUUCGGGGGGACAAGUAGAGUGGCGCACGGGUGAGUAACACGUAGGUAAUCUACCUUUGGAUGGGGAAUAACAAUCGGAAACGAUUGCUAAUACCGCAUAAUGCAGCGGCACCUAAUGGUGACAGUUGUUAAAGCGGGGGAUCGAAAGACCUCGCGUCUAAAGAGGAGCCUGCGGCGGAUUAGCUAGUGGUAAGGUAAUGGCUUACCAAGGCUACGAUCCGUAACCGGCCUGAGAGGGGCGGUCGGUCACACUGACACUGACAUACGGGUCAGACUCCUACGGGAGGCAGCAGUCGGGAAUUUUGGGCAAUGGGCGAAAGCCUGACCCAGCAACGCCGCGUGAAGGAUGAAAUCCCU
rnacentral:rRNA from 1 species